AGAGUUUGAUCCUGGCUCAGAUUGAACGCUGGCGGCAUGCCUUACACAUGCAAGUCGAACGGGAACGCGGGGCAACCUGGCGACGAGUGGGGAACGGGUGAGUAAUGUAUCGGAACGUGCCCAGUUGUGGGGGAUAACUGCUCGAAAGAGCAGCUAAUACCGCAUACGACCUGAGGGCGAAAGCGGGGGAUCGCAAGACCUCGCGCAAUUGGAGCGGCCGAUAUCAGAUUAAGUAGUUGGUGGGGUAAAGGCUCACCAAGCCAACGAUCUGUAGCUGGUCUGAGAGGACGACCAGCCACACUGGGACUGAGACACGGCCCAAACUCCUACGGGAGGCAGCAGUGGGGAAUUUUGGACAAUGGACGCAAGUGUGGUCCAGCCAUGCCGCGUGCGGGAAGAAGGCCUUCGGGUUGUAAACCGCUUUUGUCAGGGAAGAAACGCUCUGGGUUAAUACCUCGGGGUAAUGACGGUACCUGAAGAAUAAGCACCGGCUAACUACGUGCCAGCAGCCGCGGUAAUACGUAGGGUGCAAGCGUUAAUCGGAAUUACUGGGCGUAAAGCGUGCGCACGCGGUUAUGCAAGACAGAUGUGAAAUCCCCGGGCUCAACCUGGGAACUGCCUUUGUGACUGCAUAGCUAGAGUACGGUAGAGGGGGAUGGAAUUCCGCGUGUAGCAGUGAAAUGCGUAUAUAUGCGGAGGAACACCGAUGGCGAAGGCAAUCCCCUGGACCUGUACUGACGCUCAUGCACGAAAGCGUGGGGAGCAAACAGGAUUAGAUACCCUGGUAGUCCACGCCCUAACGAUGUCACUGGUUGUUGGGUCUUAACUGACUCAUAACAAAGCUAACGCGUGAAGUGACCGCCUGGGGAGUACGGCCGCAGGUUGAAACUCAAAGGAAUUGACGG
rnacentral:rRNA from 1 species